rnacentral:rRNA from 1 species
CCUACGGGUGGCAGCAGUGAGGAAUAUUGGUCAAUGGACGAGAGUCUGAACCAGCCAAGUAGCGUGAAGGAUGACUGCCCUAUGGGUUGUAAACUUCUUUUAUAUGGGAAUAAAAUGUUCCACGUGUGGCAUUUUGUAGGUACCAUAUGAAUAAGGAUCGGCUAACUCCGUGCCAGCAGCCGCGGUAAUACGGAGGGUCCGUGCGUUAUCCGGAUUUAUUGGGUUUAAAGGGAGCGUAGGUGGAUUGUUAAGUCAGUUGUGAAAGUUUGCGGCUCAACCGUAGAAUUGCAGUUGAAACUGGCAGUCUUGAGUACGGUAGAGGUGGGCGGAAUUCGUGGUGUAGCGGUGAAAUGCUUAGAUAUCACGAAGAACUCCGAUUGCGAAGGCAGCUCACUGGAGUGCAACUGACGCUGAGGCUCGAAAGUGUGGGUAUCAAACAGGAUUAGAUACCCCAGUAGUC